ensembl:lncRNA
CUAGACUCUUCCUGCCAGGUCCUUCUCUGGUUUCCCAGAAAAUGGGCCUGAGUCAUGGUUUGCAGGGACUUAAGUAUUUCCCACCAGGUCCAAUCAGGGACAAGUGUACAUCCUGAUAUAUUUCCUGCCUGUGACCUUCCCACCCAGAGGUGAUCAAUCACACCCGGUUAGUUGAGUCAAACAGACUUGUUUAGGGGAGUGAAAACUUGUGACUUAUUAUCUCCCAUGAACAAUAGCCUCCAGCAUUUCAGGAACUAUCUGUCCUUGGGCAAGGGGCUUGCAUCUCAGAGGACAAUUGAUGCUGGUCAGCUGGAGCUGAGAGAUCAGAUGUUACAAAGAAGAGGCCAGUAUCAUUAAGAUGAAAUCUGAAAUUUUCUGGGUUAUCACACAGAAGCUGUGGUCCAUGGUGAUCAACCAAACCUGGAUUGGAGUCUGUACAAGAGGCCAGGAAGACACUGGUAAAGGCACUGCCUCAGUCUGAGUAAAGACUCCAGCAUCAUGGAGAUGCCAGGUCUGUGGGAUAACCACCAAAACCGACAGUGUGUUUGGAGUGGAGCUUGAGCCUGCUUGAGCCUACAAGACAAGCUGAGUGUCCUGUGGAUAGGCAGAGCCAGAGAAGGGAAGCUGACCAAGCCCUUUGGAGCCUGAAGAUCGCUAUUGAAUCCCGGGUGACAGAUAUGGAGCUACUCAAUUUGUUAUUCUGCUGAAUGUUGAUUUUGCCUUGUUUUGAAUGUAACUGUACCCAUCUUCUUCCCUCUUGGAGUAAGGAAGUAUUUAAUUUACUUUUAUUUAUCAGGGACCCAAAGUUGAGAGACUUUGGACUUUUUUUUUUAAAGAGAUAUUGGGUAAAGAAACUGAACUUUUAAAGUGUUUAAAAUUUUUAAAGACUGUGGGACUUUUAAAGUUAUACUGUAUUUUAUAUUAACAUGACAUCUUGGGGAUAAACAAGAAAGAAAGGAAAGGUUAUGGUUUAAUAGUGAUGAGUUUUGUGACAAAUUGACAAGGGUCAAUUAUGCUAGUGAGUUUCUUGUCAACUUGAUAUAAGCUAGGUUCAUCUAGGAAAAGGGAACAUCAAAUGAGAAAUGCCUCUAUCAGAUUGACCUAUGUGCAAGUCUGUUGAGUAUUUUUGGGAUUGCUGAUUAAUUGUGAAGGCCUAGUCUACCGUAGUUAGUGUGACCCCUAGGUUAUGUAAGAAAGUAGGCUGAGCAAGCCAUGGGAAGCAAGCCAGAAAGCAGUACUCUUCCAUGGCCUCUUCAUCAGUUCCUGAUUCUAAGUUCCUGCUUUAACUUCCUUCUGUGACUUCCCUCAGAUAUGAACUACAAGCUAUAAGAUGAAAUGAACCCUUUCCUCGCCAGUUGCUCUUUGUCAUGUUGUCUUUAUUCUAGCAACAGAAAGAGAAUGGUAACAGCCCCCUUUCUGUUCUUCCUUUUCAACUCACCACUUUUUUUUUUUCUUUUUGUCUUCUUAAGGCAUUUUCAAUUCUAUUAUUCAUUCUUGAGAUCUUUUAGUUUUUCAUUUUGGAAUAUUUCUAGUUCAGAAACACUACCAUUUCUUGCUCUUCUGGGCCUUUGUACUCUCUUUGAAGAAGUAGUUUUGAUCUGCUUGUGGGCCUGUCUCUCUGGUAUGUUUUGUCAUCUGUAGGAAUGUUGCUUCCUUCUUAUUCCCUUUCAUUACAACUCUUUUCAUUUCUUUGUUGUACAUGUGUGCAUGCACGCAUGUGUGUGAGUGUGUGUGUGUGUGUGUGUGUGUGUGUGUGUGUGUGUGUGUGUGUGUGGUAUCCAUGUGUUCAUGCAUUUGUAUGUGAGUAUGAGUGCAUGUGAAGGCCAGAUGUUGAAGUGGGGUGUCUUGUAUUGCUUUCCACCUUAUCUUUUGAGACUGAGUUUUUCACUGAGCCUGGAAGUUUAGAUUCAGCUAUGAUAUCUGGCUCACAAGUCCUGGGGAUCCUACUGCCUUUGCUCCCCCCCCCCCCCCCCGGCUGGAUUCAUAGACACCUGCCAUUGUGUUUGACUUUUUAUGUGGGUCUAGGAAGCAAACUCAGAUCCUUAUCCUUACAAAGCAGGCACUAAGAGACUGAGCUCUCCCCAGCCUGCUCAUUGCAACGUUUUUUUUCAAACCUUGACUCACAUAUUUUGAGAUAAUUUUUCUGUGAAAUUUGUUUUCUGAAGUUUUUGAGGUGGUUUAAGACAGCUUUUCCAAUUAGCUCAUACUCUCAGCUGACUUUCUCUUGUCUUUGCUUCUUGCCUACUCAAUUAUCCUUCAUUCUGGAUAGUUUGUCCACAGUGUGAAUCUCUUUCCUGGAAGGGAAGUCUCCUUAGGCUGUUUUUCAGAGUUCCGUCAAUCCAAUUCCUCAGUCUCUCCCUCCUCCAACACACACCUUAUUAGGUGUGUCCUGCUUUCUCCUGUUUUUGAAGAAAGAAACAUCCCUUCUGUUUCAGCUGUCCUUGACUGGACUGGCCUGGCCGGAUCUUCCAGCAAACACAUUGGGCUAUUCUGGAGUUCUCUGGAGGCCUCACUGAUUCUGAUGCCGAUACUGCAAACACUUCAUGAGCAUUUGUUUGUUAGUGUCAUUUGCUCUAUUGUGGAAAUCUGAAUGAUAUAAUGUCCCAUAUGUGUGCUGCUGAUGCUUCCCUUGGGUGGUUUGGUGACUUUCUGUUUUGUUGUUCUGC